rnacentral:lncRNA from 1 species
GCAGAAUGAAUCAACUUUGAUUUAAGAAAAAUCAAGAUCAGAAACAAAUCCAAAAGUAAACCUCCUCUCCAGUUUGGGCUGAUAAGCUCCUACCCAAGAUGGCACACAAUUUACCUGGAAACACCUAGAAGAACUACAAAAUGGAGUUGUGUCAGAGAUUAUGGACAGGUUGCAUCGGCAUUUUGCUGUAUUAACAGUUUUCUCCCUCCAAGC